rnacentral:rRNA from 1 species
UGUGACUGCGUACCUUUUGUAUAAUGGGUCAGCGACUUACAUUCAGUGGCAAGGUUAACCGAAUAGGGGAGCCGUAGAGAAAUCGAGUCCGAAUAGGGCGUCCAGUCGCUGGGUGUAGACCCGAAACCAAGUGAUCUAUCCAUGGCCAGGAUGAAGGUGCCGUAACAGGUACUGGAGGUCCGAACCGACUAGUGUUGCAAAACUAGCGGAUGAGCUGUGGAUAGGGGUGAAGGCUAAACAAACUUGGAAAUAG